AGGACGAACGCUGGCGGCGUGCUUAACACAUGCAAGUCGAACGGUGAUCUUCGGGGCUUGCCCUGGGGUGAUCAGUGGCGAACGGGUGAGUAACACGUGAGUAACCUGCCCCUGACUCUGGGAUAACUUCGGGAAACCGUAGCUAAUACCGGAUAUGACACGGAGAUGCAUGUCUACCGUGUGGAAAGUUUUUCGGUCUGGGAUGGACUCGCGGCCUAUCAGCUUGUUGGUGAGGUAAUGGCUCACCAAGGCGACGACGGGUA
rnacentral:rRNA from 1 species